AGUGAACGCUGGCGGUAGGCCUAACACAUGCAAGUCGAACGGCAGCACAGAGGAGCUUGCUCCUUGGGUGGCGAGUGGCGGACGGGUGAGGAAUACAUCGGAAUCUACUCUGUCGUGGGGGAUAACGUAGGGAAACUUACGCUAAUACCGCAUACGACCUACGGGUGAAAGCAGGGGAUCUUCGGACCUUGCGCGAUUGAAUGAGCCGAUGUCGGAUUAGCUAGUUGGCGGGGUAAAGGCCCACCAAGGCGACGAUCCGUAGCUGGUCUGAGAGGAUGAUCAGCCAAACUGGAACGGAGACACGGUCCAGACUCCUACGGGAGGCAGGAGUGGGGAAUAUUGGACAAUGGGCGCAAGCCUGAUCCAGCCAUACCGCGUGGGUGAAGAAGGCCUUCGGGUUGUAAAGCCCUUUUGUUGGGAAAGAAAUCCAUCUGGUUAAUACCUGGGUGGGAUGACGGUACCCAAAGAAUAAGCACCGGCUAACUUCGUGCCAGCCGCCGCCGUAA
rnacentral:rRNA from 1 species